rnacentral:rRNA from 1 species
UUGAUCAUGGCGUCAGGACGAACGCUGGCGGCGUGCUUAACACAUGCAAGUCGAACGAAGCAGCAGUGAAGGAGGCUUCGGCCAAUGGAACUGUUGACUUAGUGGCGGACGGGUGAGUAACGCGUGAGCAACCUGCCUUUCAGAGGGGGAUAACGUUUGGAAACGAACGCUAAUACCGCAUGACAUAACGGUAUCGCAUGGUAUUGUUAUCAAAGGAGCAAUCCGCUGAGAGAUGGGCUCGCGUCCGAUUAGAUAGUUGGUGGGGUAACGGCCUACCAAGUCGACGAUCGGUAGCCGGACUGAGAGGUUGAACGGCCACAUUGGGACUGAGACACGGCCCAGACUCCUACGGGAGGCAGCAGUGGGGAAUAUUGCACAAUGGGCGCAAGCCUGAUGCAGCAACGCCGCGUGAGGGAAGACGGUUUUCGGAUUGUAAACCUCUGUCCUUGGUGAAGAUAAUGACGGUAGCCGAGGAGGAAGCCACGGCUAACUACGUGCCAGCAGCCGC